CCUACGGGUGGCAGCAGUGGGGAAUAUUGGACAAUGGGCGCAAGCCUGAUCCAGCAAUGCCGCGUGGAUGAAGAAGGUCUUCGGAUUGUAAAGUCCUUUCGACGGGGACGAUGAUGACGGUACCCGUAGAAGAAGCCCCGGCUAACUUCGUGCCAGCAGCCGCGGUAAUACGAAGGGGGCUAGCGUUGCUCGGAAUUACUGGGCGUAAAGGGCGCGUAGGCGGCCGAUCAAGUCAGGCGUGAAAUUCCCGGGCUCAACCUGGGGGCUGCGCUUGAGACUGGUUGGCUAGAGGCCGAGAGAGGGUGGUGGAAUUCCCAGUGUAGAGGUGAAAUUCGUAGAUAUUGGGAAGAACACCGGUGGCGAAGGCGGCCACCUGGCUCGGUACUGACGCUGAGGCGCGACAGCGUGGGGAGCAAACAGGAUUAGAUACCCCAGUAGUC
rnacentral:rRNA from 1 species